GAUGAACGCUGGCGGCGUGCCUAAUACAUGCAAGUCGAGCGAACGGACGAGAAGCUUGCUUCUCUGAUGUUGACGGCGGACGGGUGAGUAACACGUGGAUAACCUACCUAUAAGACUGGGGUAACUUCGGGAAACCGGAGCUAAUACCGGAUAAUAUUUUGAACCGCAUGGUUCAAAAGUGAAAGACGGUCUUGCUGUCACUUAUAGAUGGAUCCGCGCUACAUUAGCUAGUUGGUAAGGUAACGGCUUACCAAGGCAACGAUGCAUAGCCGACCUGAGAGGGUGAUCGGCCACACUGGAACUGGGACACGGUCCAGACUCCUACGGGAGGCAGCAGUAGGGAAUCUUCCGCAAUGGGCGAAAGCCUGACGGAGCAACGCCGCGUGAGUGAUGAAGGUCUUCGGAUCGUAAAACUCUGUUAUUAGGGAAGAACAUAUGUGUAAGUAACUGUGCACAUCUUGACGGUACCUAAUCAGAAAGCCACGGCUAACUACGUG
rnacentral:rRNA from 1 species